UGGGGAAUUUUGGACAAUGGGGGAAACCCUGAUCCAGCCAUCCCGCGUGUGCGAUGAAGGCCUUCGGGUUGUAAAGCACUUUUGGCAGGAAAGAAACGUCAUGGGUUAAUACCCCGUGAAACUGACGGUACCUGCAGAAUAAGCACCGGCUAACUACGUGCCAGCAGCCGCGGUAAUACGUAGGGUGCAAGCGUUAAUCGGAAUUACUGGGCGUAAAGCGUGCGCAGGCGGUUCGGAAAGAAAGAUGUGAAAUCCCAGAGCUCAACUUUGGAACUGCAUUAUUAACUACCGGGAUAGAGUGUGUCAGAGGGAGGUGGAAUUCCGCGUGUAGCAGUGAAAUGCGUAGAUAUGCGGAGGAACACCGAUGGCGAAGGCAGCCUCCUGGGAUAACACUGACGCUCAUGCACGAAAGCGUGGGGAGCAAACAGG
rnacentral:rRNA from 1 species